UGACAAAAUUUAUAAAGAAGAAUUAGCUAGAUGUGUUGCCAUUGAACGUUUAUCUUUUAAUUUUGGUGAAAAUUUUGGUGUUAAUCAUUUUAUACAAAUUGCAUGUACUCCACAAGAAAAAACUGUUUCGAGAAAUACGCUUAAACGCCAAUUGUUUAAUCUUUUUAAAAGAGAAAAAAGAAAAGAUGAUUUGCGAAAU